UCGUAAAAUCAAAAAUUGAAUUGAUUUUUAGGUGACGAAGAAGUUGUACAGCUUUUACUUGAUAAUGGUGCAAAGGUCAAUGCCCAGGACGAAGAUAAACAUACAUGUUUACACUAUGCAGUUAAAGAAGGUAAAGUGAAAGUGGUGGAAAUCCUGAUUAACAAUGGCGCAGAUGUAAAACUGAGAAACAAAGAUGAUCACACUGCACUCGAUAUUAUUGAAAGUAUAAAUGAAGACCACAUUAAAAUCAUCGAUUUAUUGCGGAAGGCUGAAAGUCAAAUGGGAUAGAGUCAACUGGUCAACUGUCCUAAAUGCUAAUUGGACCCUCAAACGCAAUUUUAAUUCGAAAUCUUCACAAUUUUAUUUCAAAUUUCCCAAUUCAAAAGCCAAAAUCUAAAAUAAAUUAAUUCAAUGUCAUAGUUUCAAA